CCUACGGGAGGCAGCAGUGGGGAAUAUUUCACAAUGGGGGAAACCCUGAUGCAGCAACGCCGCGUGAGUGAAGAAGUAUUUCGGUAUGUAAAGCUCUAUCAGCAGGGAAGAGAAUGAAGUUACAUGGUUAAUAAGGCCUGACUAACUACGUGCCAUCAGCCGCGGGAAGACGUAGGGGGCAAGCGGUAUCCGGAUUUACUGGUUGUAAAGGGAGCGGAGACGGCUGUACAAGUCUGAAGUGAAAGAUCAUGGGCCAAACGCGGUACUGCUUGGGAGACUGUAAAGCUAGAGUACUGGAGAGGCAGGCGGAACUCCUAGUGUAGCGGUGAAAUGCGUAGAUAUUAGGAGGAACACCAGUAGCGAAGGCGGCAUACUGGCCCGAAACUGACGCUGAGGCUCGAAAGCGUGGGGAGCGAACAGGAUUAGAUACCCGAGUAGUC
rnacentral:rRNA from 1 species